rnacentral:rRNA from 1 species
AUAAUCAAUUGUUUUUUAAUUGAAAACUUGUAUGAAAGAAUUGAUGAGAUAAAAAUUGUUUCAAUAGUUAAAUAUGAAUUUAAAUUUUAGGUUAAAAUGCUUAAAUAUUUUUAUUAGACGAAAAGACCCUAUAGAAUUUUAUAAAAUUAAGGUAAAGUAAAUAAAAUGUAAAAUUAUUUAUUUUAUUUUUUUAUAUUUAGUUGGGAGGAUUAUAAAAUUUAAUUAACUUUUAAUUUAUUUAAAAACAUUGAUAAAUGAAUAUUAAGAUUAUUAUUAUAAUUAAAAGAAAAAAUUACCUUA